ensembl:lncRNA
AUGGAAUGGGGUGCACUAUGGGGUGAGAAGGGGAUAAAAAUGCUGUGUGCAAGCACAAUAAAGGCUUGGAUGAAGUUUCUUAUGGAUCUGCUUUGUGUCACGUCUGCUCCCACAGCAGCGUCUGGUGACGUGAAGCACGACAGACCCGUGGGGACGGACAGGGGGAGCAGAGCCCUGCAGGACCCAGAGAGCAGCGAGGGGAGCGGCCAAAGGAGAAUUUGGCAUCCGGAGUUGGAACUCCAGGUGAACCACAGGGAGUACAGACCGGUGAGGCCUCUGGCAUCUGGCAUAUUUACCAGACAGUGGAAAGCCGUUGGGGACAGACUGUGGGAUGUGAUCUCGCAAGGGGACAAAGCAGCUGUAAAUUUAGCUACGACGUGGAGACAGCUUUAUGAUGUUUUAAGAGAGUGGAGGAUGAAGCAGAAGGUGCAACGAGAGCCAGGGCAAGGCACGGGAGCCGGUGGGCAACAACAGAUGGCUGAGGUUCGGUCUGGUGCUGUGCCCCUCCCUGGGGGACAGCCUGUGGGAGUCGCUUCCGUGGGGGCUUCGUCAGGCUCUGCUGAUGCGGGGACCGAGCGGUCACGGAGCAAUACCACCCGAUAUUUGUCUCCCAGAGACCGUGUACAACCGGUGUAUCCUUCUCCUGCACAGCAGGAGUUAAACACGAGGCGCAAAUACCUUCCUCCUGCCCGGCAGUUAGCAGAGCUGACCUUGAGAGAGACACAAGCCCAGCCGUCUGCCCCCCCGCUUUCUUCUGAGUCAGGUGAAGGAACGGAGCUGUUUAGAGUCUCUGCUCCAUUACCUGAUUCUAGCAGAGAUGAUGAUGAAUUGCCAGAGAUGAGAAACUCUGACCAGAAGCGUGGAUCUGCUUCUCGUAAAUCUCGUAGUAGAUCUAAGCUUGCUGCUCCCUGGACUUUACCUUCUUGUGAAGUGUCUGUGGUGCCACUCAACCCUGCCCAGUUUUGGGAAUCUGUCAAGGAAAAGGCAAUGGAGAUGUGUGAUGGGAACUUAAUAGAAAAACCAGGUCUGCCAGCAACGACCAAUGCACCGAGUGCUGAUACAGAUGUUGUUAGUAAUGAUCACACAGCCUUUCCUGCUCCCAAAGCAAUUCCUAACACAGGACAGAAUUAUACACAUAAAACAUUUUCCUGGGGAUUUGUUAAAUCCCUUCUGUCAAAGGUCGCCCGAUUUGGUGUUAAUUCUCCUGAGGUAAUGCAAUUGGUUCAUGUUAUUAAUGUUUAUAGGCUUGCUCCACGUGACAUAAGACACCUUGCUAUGAUUUUGUUUGAACCUGUACUGUAUGAUACAUUUCAACAUAUGUGGAGGGAGUUAGUUGAGAGUGCUGCCUUAAACAAUAUGAAACUCCCACAGCAACACCCCUGUCAUGGGGUGGGAGUUGAUGCCUUGAUGGGUACUGGGCCUUUUGAUGACCCACAGUUACAGGCCCAGUGGGAUCCUUUGGUUUUGGCACAGGCUCAACAAAUAGGCAUCAGUGCUCUAAUUAAAGCAAUGGAGCUGGCACCUCCAAAACAGAAAUGUUUUACUCCCGAAGAGCAAGGAUGGGGAAUGGCACAAUGCCCAAAAAAUAAUGAGCAAAAGAUGAAAGCUAAAACAAAUUUGAGCUGUAAGACUAUUUGCAAUCGCUGUGGUAAAUCUGGACACUACACUAAACAAUGCAAACAGAAAGCUGUUGCAGGGAAACUGGAAGAAGAGCACAAAGCAGUGUGGGGGGACAAAUACGCCAACAACCACGAGUUCUCCCAGCACUGAAAAGCUGUCAAUUUGUGGACAAUAUUCAGGGGCCAUAAGGGGCUCCACAGAGGUAAAUACAUAGAUAUACCCACUAUGUACACAGUAACUAUUGCAAUAAAGCAAAUAUGUACAGUUCCUCUUGAUGCCUG